AUUGAACGCUGGCGGCAGGCCUAACACAUGCAAGUCGAGCGGAUGAAGGGAGCUUGCUCCUGGAUUCAGCGGCGGACGGGUGAGUAAUGCCUAGGAAUCUGCCUGGUAGUGGGGGAUAACGUCCGGAAACGGGCGCUAAUACCGCAUACGUCCUGAGGGAGAAAGUGGGGGAUCUUCGGACCGCACGCUAUCAGAUGAGCCUAGGUCGUAUUAGCUAGUUGGUGGGGUAAAGGCCUACCAAGGCGACGAUCCGUAACUGGUCUGAGAGGAUGAUCAGUCACACUGGAACUGAGACACGGUCCAGACUCCUACGGGAGGCAGCAGUGGGGAAUAUUGGACAAUGGGCGAAAGCCUGAUCCAGCCAUGCCGCGUGUGUGAAGAAGGUCUUCGGAUUGUAAAGCACUUUAAGUUGGGAGGAAGGGCAGUAAGUUAAUACCUUGCUGUUUUGACGUUACCAACAGAAUAAGCACCGGCUAACUUCGUG
rnacentral:rRNA from 1 species